GGUUAUAUGUAUUUUGAAACAGGAAAUCUCGCCAUCCUCACCAAAGCCAUUUCCUUGAGAGGAUUUUAUCUGGUUUGUCUCCUUGACUCCAGGCAGGGCUCCAUUCCAACCAGAUGGAAGGCCAUUCUCAAACAGCAUAGAACUUCCCAGUGACUGGAUGAAAGAUUUGCAUUUCAGAACAGCAGCUGUUAGCUUGGUUGCUGGAAUUUGCUUUCCCUCUCAACCCCCCAGCCAGCCUGUAUCUCUCAGCUUCUAAAAAUAUAAUCUUAUUCUUGCUCUCUUUUCAACUUGAAAUGGACAUAGAAUGCAGACAUCUCACAUCAUUUACACCCAGAAGGCUGUCAGCAGCAGCGCUCAGGGAGUGAGAGUGUUUAAUCUCGAGGAGGAAAUAGAAUGUAUACACACCCUGCAAACUGAGAUGUUUUACGUUGGCUCUGGCUCCUACCGCCCCCCAUGUGUGGCAGCAGCUACCAAGACUCUACUGUGAAUCCCCAUGACUGGUAAGUCCUGUUGAUCAGAACGAUCGCGAAUGUUUUCCUGCUCCGUAGACACGGGGCCCAGCCAGGCCACCCAGUCAUCAUUAACUGGGCUGCUGGUCCAGCCCUGUUUGCUGACUCUACCAGGGGUAACUAUUUCAUGACAAGUUUAUAGGAGGGAGAAAUCAAAAGUACAACCUUACUUUUUGCUGGUCUCUUCCAUCCUCUGCUGGCCUCAUGUGACCUCCCGAACAUGGCACAGUCAUCACCAGCUCCCGUUGGUCCCUGGGGUGGUUUGGCCGCAGUUACAUUGGCACAGUCAUUGGAAAAAUCAUUUCUGUACAUCGCAUCACUGGUGCAUCUGGGCUUCUGCCUGAAGCACAUGUCAGGAGGAAUUGUUGGCAACCCUGAGGGCAAGGACGCAUCUGCCUUGGGCUCCAGGGGUGGUGUGGCUUGCUGGAGUGGGAGGUGCGCAGCCCAGCAGGGUCAGACAUUUCAGUAUGCCGCAAUGAGAAUGAACAAAAUGAACAACCUGCAGCAACAUGAAUGGACCUCACAAGGAUAAUGUUGAACAUAAGAAGCCAGGCACAAAAGAGUGCAUAUUUUUGUGUCUGACUCCAUUACAUGAAGUUCAAGAAGAAGAAACAUUAAUGUAUGGUUUUGGAAGGCAGGAUGUGGGGAGGUAGUUGGGGCAUGAGGAGGUUUUGGGGGUACAGGGUGGUGGCAGUGUUUUGCUUCUGGUUCUGGGGGAUGGCUAAGUGUGUGUUCAUUUCAUGUAAGUUCAUAUGCAUUUGUGCAAUUGCCUGUAAAGUUGUCAUACUUCGAUAAUAUUAAAAAUAUGAAAAAUAAAAAUAUAAA
rnacentral:lncRNA from 10 species